rnacentral:rRNA from 1 species
AUUGAACGCUGGCGGCAGGCCUAACACAUGCAAGUCGAGCGGAUGAAGGGAGCUUGCUCCUGGAUUCAGCGGCGGACGGGUGAGUAAUGCCUAGGAAUCUGCCUGGUAGUGGGGGAUAACGUCCGGAAACGGGCGCUAAUACCGCAUACGUCCUGAGGGAGAAAGUGGGGGAUCUUCGGACCUCACGCCUUCAGAUGAGCCUAGGUCGGAUUAGCUAGUUGGUGGGGUAAAGGCCUACCAAGGCGACGAUCCGUAACUGGUCUGAGAGGAUGAUCAGUCACACUGGAACUGAGACACGGUCCAGACUCCUACGGGAGGCAGCAGUGGGGAAUAUUGGACAAUGGGCGAAAGCCUGAUCCAGCCAUGCCGCGUGUGUGAAGAAGGUCUUCGGAUUGUAAAGCACUUUAAGUUGGGAGGAAGGGCAGUAAGUUAAUACCUUGCUGUUUUGACGUUACCAACAGAAUAAGCACCGGCUAACUUCGUG